rnacentral:rRNA from 1 species
UACGUAGGGGGCAAGCGUUGUCCGGAAUUAUUGGGCGUAAAGAGCUCGUAGGCGGCUUGUUGCGUCGUCCGUGAAAUCCCGUGGCUCAACUGCGGGCUUGCGGACGAUACGGGCAGGCUAGAGUUCGGUAGGGGAGACUGGAAUUCCUGGUGUAGCGGUGAAAUGCGCAGAUAUCAGGAGGAACACCGGUGGCGAAGGCGGGUCUCUGGGCCGAUACUGACGCUGAGGAGCGAAAGCGUGGGGAGCGAACAGG